GUAGUCCACGCCGUAAACGGUGGAUGCUGGAUGUGGGGCCCGUUCCACGGGUUCCGUGUCGGAGCUAACGCGUUAAGCAUCCCGCCUGGGGAGUACGGCCGCAAGGCUAAAACUCAAAGAAAUUGACGGGGGCCCGCACAAGCGGCGGAGCAUGCGGAUUAAUUCGAUGCAACGCGAAGAACCUUACCUGGGCUUGACAUGUUCCCGACGGUCGUAGAGAUACGGCUUCCCUUCGGGGCGGGUUCACAGGUGGUGCAUGGUCGUCGUCAGCUCGUGUCGUGAGAUGUUGGGUUAAGUCCCGCAACGAGCGCAACCCUCGCCCCGUGUUGCCAGCGGAUUAUGCCGGGAACUCACGGGGGACCGCCGGGGUUAACUCGGAGGAAGGUGGGGAUGACGUCAGAUCAUCAUGCCCCUUACGUCCAGGGCUUCACGCAUGCUACAAUGGCCGGUACAACGGGAUGCGACGCGGCGACGCGGAGCGGAUCCCUGAAAACCGGUCUCAGUUCGGAUCGCAGUCUGCAACUCGACUGCGUGAAGGCGGAGUCGCUAGUAAUCGCGAAUCAGCAACGUCGCGGUGAAUGCGUUCCCGGGCCUUGUACACACCGCCCGUCAAGUCAUGAAAGUGGGUAGCACCCGAAGCCGGUGGCCCAACCUUUUGGGGGGAGCCGUCUAAGGUGAGACUCGUGAUUGGGACUAAGUCGUAACAAGGUAGCCGUACCGGAAGGUGCGGCUG
rnacentral:rRNA from 1 species